UGCUUGCAAGGAGUUAUUGCGUGGUUAGAUUUUAUGCGUAUAUUCUCUGCUUUAAAUAUGUUAACUAAUUCCUAUAUUUUGUAAAUAUUAUGAGAGUGGUUUUUUAAUUAUAACCAUAUAUGUUGACGCAGAUCAUGGUAACUAAUUACGAAGGCAGCGGACGGAAAUUAUGAGGCAAGGUAAUCUCAAGCAAAAAGAUAUGUUACUUGGAGAAAAAUAUAACGUGGAAAGAAAGGUUAGAAUUAAAUAAUGAUCAUUAAAUUAGUCAAUCAAAUCUUUGGAAAUAUAUAGGACUGAUUUAUAAAAUAUGGUUAUAAA
rnacentral:lncRNA from 1 species